CCCUUAGAUGAUUUGGGCUGCACGCGCGCUACACUGACCCUAACAAUGAGCAACUGUCUGGCCUGAGAUGGCUGGGUAGCCUUUUCAACCCAUGUCAUGAUUGGGCUAGAUUUUUGUAAGUCUUGAUCUCUAACGAGGAAUCCCUAGUAUGCGUGAAUCAUCAAUCCAUGCAGAUUAUGUCCCUGCCCUUUGUACACACCGCCCGCCGCUCCUACUGAUUGGGUGAUCCGGUGAACUGUUCGGCCAUAGCAAUGUUUCUUGAGCAGGGCAAUGAAUGUUUCGCAAACCUUGCCACUUAGAGGAAGGAGAAGUCGUAACA
rnacentral:rRNA from 1 species